GAAUUUCGGUAUGGGAUGGGGAUGCGUUCCAUUAGUUAGUUGGCGGGGUAACGGCCCACCAAGACAACGAUGGAUAGGGGUUCUGAGAGGAAGGUCCCCCACAUUGGAACUGAGACACGGUCCAAACUCCUACGGGAGGCAGCAGUGAGGAAUAUUGGUCAAUGGACGAGAGUCUGAACCAGCCAAGUAGCGUGAAGGAUGACUGCCCUAUGGGUUGUAAACUUCUUUUAUAUGGGAAUAAAAUGUUCCACGUGUGGGAUUUUGUAUGUACCAUAUGAAUAAGGAUCGGCUAACUCCGUGCCAGCAGCCGCGGUAAUACGGAGGAUCCGAGCGUUAUCCGGAUUUAUUGGGUUUAAAGGGAGCGUAGGUGGAUUGUUAAGUCAGUUGUGAAAGUUUGCGGCUCAACCGUAAAAUUGCAGUUGAAACUGGCAGUCUUGAGUACAGUAGAGGUGGGCGGAAUUCGUGGUGUAGCGGUGAAAUGCUUAGAUAUCACGAAGAACUCCGAUUGCGAAGGCAGCUCACUGGACUGCAACUGACACUGAGGCUCGAAAGUGUGGGUAUCAAACAGGAUUAGAUACCCUGGUAGUCCACACAGUAAACGAUGAAUACUCGCUGUUUGCGAUAUAC
rnacentral:rRNA from 1 species